rnacentral:rRNA from 1 species
UACGGAGGGUGCGAGCGUUGUCCGGAAUCACUGGGCGUAAAGGGCUCGUAGGCGGCCAACUAAGUCAGACGUGAAAUCCCUCAGCUUAACUGGGGAACUGCGUCUGAUACUGGAUGGCUUGGAUUCGGGAGAGGAAUGCGGAAUUCCAGGUGUAGCGGUGAAAUGCGUAGAUAUCUGGAGGAACACCGGUGGCGAAGGCGGCAUUCUGGACCGAUAUUGACGCUGAGGAGCGAAAGCCAGGGGAGCAAACGGG